GACGAACGCUGGCGGCGUGCUUAACACAUGCAAGUCGAACGGAAAGGCCCUGCUUUUGUGGGGUGCUCGAGUGGCGAACGGGUGAGUAACACGUGAGUAACCUGCCCUUGACUUUGGGAUAACUUCAGGAAACUGGGGCUAAUACCGGAUAGGAGCUCCUGCUGCAUGGUGGGGGUUGGAAAGUUUCGGCGGUUGGGGAUGGACUCGCGGCUUAUCAGCUUGUUGGUGGGGUAGUGGCUUACCAAGGCUUUGACGGGUAGCCGGCCUGAGAGGGUGACCGGAGGCAGAAGUAGUGAAGAUCGGAAAAGACGCCUACGGGAGACGGCAGGGGGGAAGAGGGCGCAAGAGGCGCAAGGCUGAUACAGCCACUCCGCGAGGGGGAUAACGGCGUUCGGGGGAAAAACCAAAUGCGCCUCUGCCGAAGCGUGAGUGAGCGUAAUGGGUAAAAGAGCAACGGCUCACUACAUG
rnacentral:rRNA from 1 species